UCCAGUUAUAUGAAAUGUCCAAAAUAGGCAAAUCCAUAGAGACAGAGAGUAGAUUGGUAGUUGCCAAGGGCUGGAGGAUAGGGUAAAUGGUGACUGACUGUUAAUGGGUACAGGAUUUUUAAGGGUGUGAUGAGAAUGUUCUAAAAUUGAUUGUGCACAACUCUAUGGAUAUACAAAAAACCGCUGACUUGUGUAACUUAAAAGGGAGAAUUUUAUAGUAUGUGAAUUAUCUCAUUCUAAUAACAGCCUACUAAGUGCCAGAUACAUAUCAAUAACUUACACUAUUCAACUUAAUCCUUACCAGAUGCUUGCAAACAAAAUUUAUUUUCACUUCACAAACGAGAAAACGGAGUUCUCACUUAUCUGUGUAACUCAGUGGAGGGCUGGCACUGCUGGGCUUGCACGCUAAGCCUAUUUUCUAAGUAUAAGCCUUUUCCAUUGGCUGUCCUGCUUCACCCUGUUUCCAGAGUUUUCUACUUUAGAUCCUCAGUGAGCUAGACUCAGGGGGUCUCUGCAUUAUCCUCUGCUCUUUCAACUGCCAGACAGACCUGACUCUGGAGAUGCUCGUAUCAUUCUCCACAGACCUGCCCUGCCCAGGUCUGAGGCACUAUCUUCUCUUAGCCGGUGUCUUCUCUCAGGAAGCUACCCACCCGUAGCUUCUCUGGGCACCCCCAAAGACUGUAAAGAAAAGUUCUAGGUUUUCUCUCCUGUUUGAGCCAAUGAUUAUAGCAUUUGCCUCUGGCCCGGAACUCGACAAGAAACAGCCCAUGAAGGAUUUCCUGUUUACAGGCCAUCACUUGCCCGGAGACACCGUGCGCGCGCACUGCCAUGUGUAUGUGCGCAUGUGUAACGUGGGGAUGGUGGGAGUGAUCUUCGGUUUUUUUUGUCUUUGCGCCACCUAACAGGGAGACAGGCUCUUUCUUGCUUUCUCCUUCACUGUUUAAAUUCUCCCAGGAAUUCUAUCCAGGGAGAUGGAAUAGAGUGACUGACAUCUGUUCUUCCCAAGACUUUUUUUUUUUUUUUUUUUAAAUCCUUUGCGUUAUCUCAAAGCUUCCCCCAUUAUUCAAAAAUGAAGACCCUUUAUAACAUCAACAAAUUUUUCAACUGCCCACUCUUAUGAUGGGAGCUGAGAAGAUACAUACUGAUUUGAAGCUACUAUAUAUUUGGUGGCAUCUGUUCCUGCUUCCAGCACUCUACUUGUUUCCUCUCCCUGGAAUAUCCUUGGACACCAGCAGGCUCACUCCUUCACUUCCUUCAGUGACUACAAUAUUCCAAUAAGGCCCAACAUUCUGGAAAGGAAGCAGCACAUCGAGAACUUCCC